rnacentral:sRNA from 1 species
AGCUCUCGUUGCCCAGGCUGGAGUGCAAUGGUGUAAUCUUGGUUCACCACAACCUCCGCCUCCCAGGUUCAAGCGAUUCUCCUGUCUCAGCCUCCCAAGUAGCUAGGAUUACAGGCAUGCGCCACCACGCCCUGCUAAUUUUGUAUUUUUAGUAGAGACGGACGGGGUUUCACCAUGUUGGUCAAGCUGGUCUUGAACUCCUGACCUCAGGUGAUCUGCCCCUAUUAGCCUCCCAAAGUGCUGGGAUUAUAGUCAUGAGCCACUGCACCUGGCCUCAAACUUUUUUUUUUAAGCAAAGAAAUUGUUUCCUGGAUAACCUCACAUAAAGCAUCCCAGUAUGUAAAGCAGAUAACAGUGUUGGAAGUGACAACCUGGAAUUCCGUCCAUGGGGACUCUUCUCCUUGUCCUCCCACACACAGAAACCCUUCAGCUUACGCUUCCAACGUCAGUGUCCAAAGAAACUUCAGACAAAUCCAGCCCCUUCAUUCACAGAUGGAGACAUUAUUGUUAGUCGUAGUCAAUGUUAGCUAACUACCAGUACUUACACUUUAAACAUGCCUGGCAUAGGAGAAUGAUUUUAUAUGUCUGAUAGUAUCAAAUUCCCACAACUACCUGAUAAACUAAGUAUUAUAAUGACCCCCAUUUUGCAGGUGAGUAAACAGAAGUCUAGAGAGGUACAAUCACUUCCCAAAGUCACCCAGCUGGUAAGUGGUGAAGGCAGAAUUCAGAGCCCAAUGUGGCUGACUCUAUAGCCUGUGCCAUUCACCCCUACAUGGGUUGCCCAGGGAGGUUAGAGACUGUCCCACAGUCUCAUAGGAACUGAGCCAGGACAAUGAGGUGGCCUGGUGUGGAGGGAAGCUCACGGGUGUGUGGGGCUGGAGCUCUGGGUCCAAGAUGUUCAUCAGCCGCCUGUCCUGGCUGUUUGGUAAGAGACUGAGGGUGAGUGGUCAAUGAGCAUGAGAGGAGGAAGGGAGCCUUGGGAGACCACACUGGAGAACCUGGAACUAGGGGGCUAUAGCAGGUGUCUGAGCUAGAGAAUUAAUCCUACCCUUGGCUGCACAUCAAUAUUGGGAAAAUAGGCCCAGAUGUGUCAUUCCUAAUAAUCACAAUGGGGCAGGAUGGUGCUCAAAGCACUUUACUGGCAUGAUCUUAAUCAUCACAAAGUCUCUAUGAGAGAGGUGAUGUCAUGAUACCCAUUUUACAGAUGAGGUCGCUGGGGGCUCAGGGAAGUGAAGUGCUUUGUCCAGGGUCUCGUGGCUGAUGAGUGGGGGAGCUGACACUUGAAGCCAAGACUGGCUGACUUUCAAGCCCACAUGCCUCUGUUAGUUAAGUGUGGUGAUGGUAAUGCUGUGUAACAAACAAUCCCCCAAAUCUCUGUGCUGUAGGACAGUAAGUGUUGAUUUAGCUCGCAUGUCUAAUGUGGGUUGGCUGAGCCAGGCUGGGCUCAGCUGGGCAGCUGUGUGCUCAUCCAUGUGCCUCUCAUCCUCUCCUGGGAUCAGUGGACUAGCCUUGGCAUAUUCCCCUCCUGCUCAUGGCAGGAGUGCAAGGGGGUGAGCAGAAACACACAAAGUCUCUUGAGGCCUAGACUCAGGACCACACAGGGUCACUCCUGCCUCAUUCUGUUGACCUAGCAAGUCACAGGGCCAAACCCAGUGUCAAUAGGUGCGAAAUGGUACUCUGUUCUUUUAAUGGGAGGAACUGCAAAGUCGCUUGGUAAGGGUGAGAAUACAAAGAAGGGUAAAGAAUUGGAGGCAAGUUUUGCAUUAUAUCAUAUUGUCUGUGCUGGUUUAAAAUAUGUUCGCACAGUCUUUGAUAAUUCCUUCAAAAGAUGGAGCCUAAUUCUACAUCUCUUGAGUGUGGGCUAGCCUUACUGACUCCCUUUUAAUGAAUAGAACAAAGUGGAAGUGAUGGUGUGCAACUUCCAAGGCAAGGUCAUAAAAGACAUUGUGGCUCCCUCCUGGCUCUCUUGAGGAUCACCCACUCUAGGGAAGCCAGCUGCCGUGUUGUGGGGAUACACAAGCAGCCCAAUGGAGAGACCCAUGUGGUGAGGACCUGUGAUCUCCAGCCAGCAGCUGUGUGAGUGGCCCAUCUUGGAAGCAGCUCCUGCAGCCCCAGUUCAGUCUUCAGAUGAGACUGCAGCUGCAGCUGACAUCCUGACUGCAACCUGAUGAGAGACCCAGAGUCAGAACUGCUCAGACUAAAGUUGCUCCUGAAUUUCUGACCCACAGGAACUGUGAGACAACAACUGUUUAUUGUUUUAAGUUGCCAAGUUCUGGGGUAAAGUUGCUUGCAGCAAUAGAUAUGAAUGCUGUGUCUAAAUAUUCUGCCAACUCACUGCUGCCAUAGCAAGGCCCAUCAUAACAAGCGAGGCUUGGAUGGAAGCAGCUUUGUCUUCUCCCCAGAGAACCAGCAAAAUCCCAACAAUUUACCAAGAUUAGAGAACCAAAAAUACCCAUGGAAACUAUAGUUGUUAAGAAACAUCUGUUUUUGAGCUGCCUAAAUUGGGUAGUUCUCAAAAGGAAUAAAAAUGUAUCAGAGGAUGGGGACAGCUGGGUGGGGACUGAUGCCAACUGCCUGGCAGGCUCAGCUGGUCACUUGGGUUCCUUCUCAGAGCUGAGGCAGGGAGAAAGAUCCAAAUGAAGAUCUGAUGGGGCAGAUUAGACAGAGCUGCCUGUAGCAAGGCACUGAGGGCUGUGUCCAGCUGCAGGGGCGGUACUUAAGCUUACUGCACCCCUACUAUGUGCCAGGUGCAGGGGGGGCACCUGCAUGUGAGGACCAGGGAUUGGGGUGUUGGAAGAUUUUGGCUUUUGGCCAGGACUAAAGGGUGAGAGGUAGUAUGGAGAAGGAAUUAAGGCCCUGUGGAGAGGCCUGGGCUUAAAUCCUGGCAUUGAUGUUUACCAGCUUUGAGACUUGUACCUGGCCAAUCACUUAAACACUCUGGGCCAGUUUCCUCAACUGUAAAACGGGCAUAGUCACAGUGCCUACUUGACCCAUCCUUGUGGUCCUCUCAGGCUUGCUUUAUAGGACUCUUCCUGGACUCCUCAGGUUUUAUCAAUCCUGGUGCCCUUCCAUUGUAUCACAUCCCUGGAUCACAGUGAUGGGUUCAGGAAUAGACACAUGACCCAAGGGAGGCCAAUCAGGUGAAUAUAGGGAGAUGUUCUUUCUUUCUUAAGGUGGCUACAUUUAGGACAUGAGCCAGGGUUGCCAGUGUCACCCAUCACAUGUACCAUAUGAAUAACUCUUGUCUAAGACCUGGCAAGAGAUAGUGGAGCCUAAUGACAUUGUUAAAGAUCCUGGAUCAAGCCAUACCUGAAGCGUAUCCAGAAUUCCAGCUGAGUAUCUGUACUAGUCAAUGUUCUCCAAAUAAUAUACACAGGCAUAACUCAGAGAUCUUGUAGGUUUGGUUGCAGGCCACCUCAAUAAAACAAAUAUUGCAAUGAAGUGAGUCAUAGGAAUUUUUGAUUUCCCAGUGCACAUAAAAGUUACACUAUACUGUAGUGUAUUAAGUGUGCAAUACCGUUGUGCCUAAAAACCGCUGUACAUACCUUAAUUAAAAAUACUUAAUUGCUAGCAAUCAUCUGAGCCUUCUGCAAAUUGUAAUCUUUUUGCUUGUGGAGGGUCAUGCCUCGAUGUUUAUGGCUGCUGACUCAUCAGGGUGGUGGUUGCUGAAGGUUGGGGUGGCUGUGGCAGUUUCUUAAAAUAUGACAACAAUAAAGUUGGCCACAUUGAUGGACUCUUUCGUUAAAGAUUUUGCGGAAGCAUA